AGUCGAGCGGAUCUUUGGGAGCUUGCUCCCAUUGGUUAGCGGCGGACGGGUGAGUAACACGUGGGCAACCUGCCUGUAAGACUGGGAUAACUUCGGGAAACCGGAGCUAAUACCGGAUAAUCCAUUUCCUCUCAUGAGGAAAUGCUGAAAGUCGGUUUCGGCUGACACUUACAGAUGGGCCCGCGGCGCAUUAGCUAGUUGGUGAGGUAACGGCUCACCAAGGCGACGAUGCGUAGCCGACCUGAGAGGGUGAUCGGCCACACUGGGACUGAGACACGGCCCAGACUCCUACGGGAGGCAGCAGUAGGGAAUCUUCCACAAUGGACGAAAGUCUGAUGGAGCAACGCCGCGUGAGCGACGAAGGCCUUCGGGUCGUAAAGCUCUGUUGUUAGGGAAGAACAAGUGCCGGAGUAACUGCCGGCACCUUGACGGUACCUAACCAGAAAGCCACGGCUAACUACGUGCCCAGCAGCCGCGGUAAUACGUAAGGUGGCAAGCGUUGUCCGGAAUUUAUUGGGCGUAAAGCGCGCGCAGGCGGUCCUUUAAGUCUUGAUGUGAAAGCCCACGGCUCAACCGUGGAGGGUCAUUGGAAACUGGGGGACUUGAGUGCAGAAGAGGAAAGCGGAAUUCCACGUGUAGCGGUGAAAUGCGUAGAGAUGUGGAGGAACACCAGUGGCGAAGGCGGCUUUCUGGUCUGUAACUGACGCUGAGGCGCGAAAGCGUGGGGAGCAAACAGGAUUAGAUACCCUGGUAGUCCACGCCGUAAACGAUGAGUGCUAAGUGUUAGGGGGUUUCCGCCCCUUAGUGCUGCAGCUAACGCAUUAAGCACUCCGCCUGGGGAGUACGGCCGCAAGGCUGAAACUCAAAGGAAUUGACGGGGGCUCGCACAAGCGGUGGAGCAUGUGGUUUAAUUCGAAGCAACGCGAAGAACCUUACCAGGUCUUGACAUCCUCUGACACUCCUAGAGAUAGGACGUUCCCCUUCGGGGGACAGAGUGACAGGUGGUGCAUGGUUGUCGUCAGCUCGUGUCGUGAGAUGUUGGGUUAAGUCCCGCAACGAGCGCAACCC
rnacentral:rRNA from 1 species